UACGUAGGGUGCAAGCGUUGUCCGGAAUUAUUGGGCGUAAAGAGCUCGUAGGCGGUUUGUCGCGGCUGCUGUGAAAACUCGGGGCUUAACCCUGGGCCUGCAGUGGGUACGGGCAGACUAGAGUGCGGUAGGGGAGACUGGAAUUCCUGGUGUAGCGGUGAAAUGCGCAGAUAUCAGGAGGAACACCGGUGGCGAAGGCGGGUCUCUGGGCCGUAACUGACGCUGAGGAGCGAAAGCGUGGGGAGCGAACAGG
rnacentral:rRNA from 1 species